CCUACGGGAGGCAGCAGUGAGGAAUAUUGGUCAAUGGACGCAAGUCUGACCCAGCCAUGCCGCGUGCAGGAAGACGGCUCUAUGAGUUGUAAACUGCUUUUGUACGAGGGUAAACGCAGAUACGCGUAUCUGUCUGAAAGUAUCGUACGAAUAAGGAUCGGCUAACUCCAGGCCAGCAGCCGCGGUAAUACGGAGGAUUCAAGCGUUAUCCGGAUUUAUUGGGUUUAAAGGGUGCGUAGGCGGUCGGAUAAGUUAGGGGUGAAAUCCCGAGGCUCAACUUCGGAAUUGCCUCUGAUACUGGUCGGCUAGAGAGUAUGUGCGGUAGGCGGAAUGUAUGGUGUAGCAGUGAAAUGCUUAGAGAUCAGACAGAACACCGAUUGCGAAGGCAGCUUACCAAGCUACUUCUGACGUUGAGGCACGAAAGCGUGGGGAGCAAACAGGAUUAGAUACCCGUGUAGUC
rnacentral:rRNA from 1 species